AUUUUGUUUGAUGUAAAAGACAUAAUGGCAAAUGUCCACGCAAAACUACAAACCCAAGAGGACAAAAAGGUUAACACUUUUUUGAAGACUAAAAUAAUGAAUCUGGAGACGGAAAAAAGAGAGCUGGUUGGAGUCUUUGGGAAAACCGGAGCUGGAAAGACAUCUUUGAUAAAUGCUGUCAUUGAAGAGGAAAGGCUUUUACCAUCUGGAAGUCUCAGUGCCUGUACCUCAGUCAUGAUCAAAGUGGAGGCUAACAGGCUCAACCAUAAAUAUGAGGCAGAGAUUGAGUUCAUCACAAAAGAGGAGUGGGAAGAUGAAUUGAGCAACAGAGAUCAGUUUCUUAAAGGAAUAG